GUUACUGUGGUGCAGUGGUUUGAACAUUGGACUAUGACUCUGGAGACCAGGGUUUAAAUCCCUGCUCAGCCA
rnacentral:tRNA from 1 species